UGGCAAGUCGAACGAACUCUGGGUAUUGAUUGGUGCUUGCAUCAUGAUUUACAUUUGAGUGAGUGGCGAACUGGUGAGUAACACGUGGGAAACCUGCCCAGAAGCGGGGGAUAACACCUGGAAACAGAUGCUAAUACCGCAUAACAACUUGGACCGCAUGGUCCGAGUUUGAAAGAUGGCUUCGGCUAUCACUUUUGGAUGGUCCCGCGGCGUAUUAGCUAGAUGGUGGGGUAACGGCUCACCAUGGCAAUGAUACGUAGCCGACCUGAGAGGGUAAUCGGCCACAUUGGGACUGAGACACGGCCCAAACUCCUACGGGAGGCAGCAGUAGGGAAUCUUCCACAAUGGACGAAAGUCUGAUGGAGCAACGCCGCGUGAGUGAAGAAGGGUUUCGGCUCGUAAAACUCUGUUGUUAAAGAAGAACAUAUCUGAGAGUAACUGUUCAGGUAUUGACGGUAUUUAACCAGAAAGCCACGGCUAACUACGUGCCAGCAGCCGCGGUAAUACGUAGGUGGCAAGCGUUGUCCGGAUUUAUUGGGCGUAAAGCGAGCGCAGGCGGUUUUUUAAGUCUGAUGUGAAAGCCUUCGGCUCAACCGAAGAAGUGCAUCGGAAACUGGGAAACUUGAGUGCAGAAGAGGACAGUGGAACUCCAUGUGUAGCGGUGAAAUGCGUAGAUAUAUGGAAGAACACCAGUGGCGAAGGCGGCUGUCUGGUCUGUAACUGACGCUGAGGCUCGAAAGUAUGGGUAGCAAACAGGAUUAGAUACCCUGGUAGUCCAUACCGUAAACGAUGAAUGCUAAGUGUUGGAGGGUUUCCGCCCUUCAGUGCUGCAGCUAACGCAUUAAGCAUUCCGCCUGGGGAGUACGGCCGCAAGGCUGAAACUCAAAGGAAUUGACGGGGGCCCGCACAAGCGGUGGAGCAUGUGGUUUAAUUCGAAGCUACGCGAAGAACCUUACCAGGUCUUGACAUACUAUGCAAAUCUAAGAGAUUAGACGUUCCCUUCGGGGACAUGGAUACAGGUGGUGCAUGGUUGUCGUCAGCUCGUGUCGUGAGAUGUUGGGUUAAGUCCCGCAACGAGCGCAACCCUUAUUAUCAGUUGCCAGCAUUAAGUUGGGCACUCUGGUGAGACUGCCGGUGACAAACCGGAGGAAGGUGGGGAUGACGUCAAAUCAUCAUGCCCCUUAUGACCUGGGCUACACACGUGCUACAAUGGAUGGUACAACGAGUUGCGAACUCGCGAGAGUAAGCUAAUCUCUUAAAGCCAUUCUCAGUUCGGAUUGUAGGCUGCAACUCGCCUACAUGAAGUCGGAAUCGCUAGUAAUCGCGGAUCAGCAUGCCGCGGUGAAUACGUUCCCGGGCCUUGUACACACCGCCCGUCACACCAUGAGAGUUUGUAACACCCAAAGUCGGUGGGGUAACCUUUUAGGAACCCAGCCGG
rnacentral:rRNA from 1 species